UGUACCCUUUCUGCCGGGCUGACCGUAAGAUGUUUUCGUGGUUUUUUUACUCCAUAUAACACAAAUGUGGGUCAGUUCCAUUAAGAAGUCCUUCCCGAAGGCUAGUUUGUCCCAAUGCUUGACCGCAUAUUGGAGCUGAUAUUGGCUACGGAUUCAACGUUCAGGGAGGGCUAGAAAAUAAAAUGAGCUGAUGUUUAAAGAUACAAGAAAGGAAACUGAAUGGAAAGCAGGUGGAAUUGAAUGAGUUAAAGAAAAGAAGAGUCUCAGAUGGAAAGCAAACUCAAUUCAAGUAAAACUCAACUUGAUGCAUUAACUUCUUCUCUACAAAGUAACACCCUUCAGAUAAGUCAAAUAAAAAUUAAAAUUGACCAAAUACAAGAGCAACAUAGGUUAAAUGAGUGAAGCUAUCAAGGAUAUGGAUAAUGUACUUUCUUUUGGUGAUUUCCGAAGUAUAUCAGACUUUACUUUGAAUGGCUUUUCUACACCUAAUGAUGACAGAGCCUAUAUUUCACCAACAUGUCCCAAAAACCUUUGAUGAAGUUAAACCAGCUGUAACUACACCUCUCAAUGAUUUUCAGGAGUAUCAAUUUAAAAGUAGUCAUCGCUUCGAAGGUAAGACAAAUGGAUUUGUUAAUGAUCCAUUUUCUGGUGAAGAUCCGUUCAAAUCUG